rnacentral:rRNA from 1 species
AUCACAGGUCAGCAUACUGUGGUGAAUACGUUCCCGGGCCUUGUACACACCGCCCGUCACACCAUGAGAGUUGAGAAUACCCGAAGUCCAUGUCAAAGUGGCCGAAGGUAGGCUUGAUGAUUGGGGUGAAGUCGUAACAAGGUAAC